GGCUUGACGGCGGGGUUGGGUGCUGCUUCUCUCAGACUGUUCGAGUCGGUGGAAGCCGGUGUGAAUCCGGCACGGUCGCGCCACUGUCACCGGAGCUACCCCAGAGGUGGCACCGGAAGUCAGACCCAUCGCUGGGACAAGUC
rnacentral:ncRNA from 2 species